AACGAACGCUGGCGGCAUGCCUAACACAUGCAAGUCGAACGAGACCUUCGGGUCUAGUGGCGCACGGGUGCGUAACGCGUGGGAACCUGCCCUUAGGUUCGGAAUAACUCCCCGAAAGGGGUGCUAAUACCGGAUAAUGUCUUCGGACCAAAGAUUUAUCGCCGUUGGAUGGGCCCGCGUUGGAUUAGCUGGUUGGUAGGGUAAAAGCCUACCAAGGCGACGAUCCAUAGCUGGUCUGAGAGGAUGAUAAGCCACACUGGGACUGAGACACGGCCCAGACUCCGACGGGAGGCAGCAGUGGGGAAUAUUGGACGAUGGGCGAAAGCCUGAUCCAGCAAUGCCGCGUGAGUGAUGAAGGCCUUAGGAUUGUAAAGCUCUUUUACCCGGGAUGAUAAUGACAGUACCGGGAGAAUAAGCUCCGGCUAACUCCGUG
rnacentral:rRNA from 1 species